rnacentral:rRNA from 1 species
AUUGAACGCUGGCGGAAUGCUUUACACAUGCAAGUCGAACGGCAGCACGGACUUCGGUCUGGUGGCGAGUGGCGAACGGGUGAGUAAUGUAUCGGAACGUGCCCAGUCGUGGGGGAUAACGUAGUGAAAAUUACGCUAAUACCGCAUACGAUCUAUGGAUGAAAGCGGGGGAUCGCAAGACCUCGCGCGAUUGGAGCGGCCGAUAUCAGAUUAGGUAGUUGGUGGGGUAAAGGCCAUCCAAGCCAACGAUCUGUAGCUGGUCUGAGAGGACGACCUGCAACACUGGAACUGGGACACGGUCCAGACUCCUACGGGAGGCAGCAGUGGGGAAUUUUGGACAAUGGGCGAAAGCCUGAUCCAGCCAUUCCGCGUGCAGGAUGAAGGCCCUCGGGUUGUAAACUGCUUUUGUACAGAACGAAAAGGUUUCUACUAAUACUAGGAGCUCAUGACGGUACUGUAAGAAUAAGCACCGGCUAACUACGUGCCAGCCGCCGCAGUAA